CAGUUAAUAAGUGUUUUAGGCUGGAUUUGAAAACAGGAAGAUGAUUCUUCCUGCCUUCAGGGCUUGUACCCUCUCCAUCAUGCCACAUAGGUGGCCUACCUAGAGGUGCUGUUCUGAAGGUUUCUGUCUUACAGAUGUGGAAACUAUGGCUAAAAACCAUAAGACCCUUUUAUGUCUUGAAUUUUGAGAGGUGACCUGAUUUUCCUUUCUUCCAUGAAAUGACUCACAAGGAAAACUAAAGAAGCUAAGUUGGGUCCCAAGACUAAUGUUGCCUUAUUCUUCUUGGGUGUAGGUAGGUGCUGUCCUGGGGUCAAAAUAUAUAUGUAAAGAGUUCAGUUCUUUCAGAAUAUCUCUUUCUAGAAGUACUCAGUGAUAUGGGAAUGGGCUAAGAAAGUUAGUUUGCUUUGUCGAAGUAUCCUGAGCAGAAGUGUACAAGCAGAUAGAUUGAUGUUCAAUGUUAGGACUUUCUCAUUCUCCUAGCCUCUUUGGUUCUUAUCCUGACAAAACAUAGGAGGUACAUGAAAGCCUCUUCAGUUCUUAUCCUCACAAAACAUAGGAGGUGCAUGAAAGCCUCUUCGUUAUGAUUAUGCACAUAAGGAUCCAAAGCUGCUAAAAUC
rnacentral:lncRNA from 1 species